UUUGUUAUACACAUCGAAACGUUGGAGAAGGAUUGCGAGACUCUUGAGAAUUUGUUUUUCUGUGUUGGUCAGUAUUAUGGAAAUGGAGAAAGAUUUUAAAUCAUCCGGAUAUUAAGAAAAAAAAUCCGUUACUGUUUGGAAACAUAUACCGGCUAUGUCUUCUUAGGGAUACGAAACCUCGAGCUGGUCAAAAUAUCAAGUUAACGACUCCUGGAAGAUAACAUUUUGGCUGUAAAAUACUACCCUAAGGAAGCAUUCUCCGUGAUAAAUAAUUCUUGUGAAUCGAGUGAAAUGAAUCUAUUGGAUUACGAAGAAUCCAUCGUAAUGGGCACCGCUGAAUUCGUUUAACAUGAGAUCAUUUCUUCUAAAAGGACUAGUGACUCUACGCAAGAGUUAGGUAUAAAUUCGGUAUCCGGAUAUCCCACAAAGGAAAGACCUCGCUCAAAAUAAGGGCACUAUAAACCUGAGGAUUCAGGUGUAAAUCAUUUAAAA